GACAGAGGGUGCAACGUUGCUCGGAAUUACUGGGCGUAAAGCGCGUGUAGGUGGAUUGGUGUGUCAGAUGUGAAAGCCCUGGGCUCAACCCAGGAAUUGCACCUGAAACUACCAGUCUUGAGUGGUGGAGAGGGAAGUGGAAUUCCUGGUGGUAGAGGUGAAAUUCGUAGAUAUCAGGAGGAACACCAGUGGCGAAGGCGGCGUCCUGGACACCAACUGACGCUGAGACGCGAAAGCGUGGGGAGCGAACAGG
rnacentral:rRNA from 1 species